AUAAAGCCCCUCGCUUACACCGAGGUAAUAUCUGUUUGACUCGGAUCUCUUUGAGCCUAAAAUCUAGCCCAUAAAAUCUUAUGCAACUCUGAACCUUCUGCCUAUUAAUAAAACAUUUUUAUAUUUUAGUACAGGUGAUCAAAAAAUUUAUAAGCGCUUUAGAUAAAGUACCGCAAGGGAACGAUGAAAUAAAAAUGAAACAAUUUUAAGCUAAAUCUAGCAGAGACAAACCCUCGUACCUUUUGCAUCAUGGUCUAGCUAGUCUAAUCAAGCAAAAAGAAAAUUUAAGUUUAACAUCCCGAAACUAGACGAGCUACUUUGAAACAGCCGAUAGAGCCAACCCGUCUCUGUUGCAAAAGAGUGGGAAGAUUUCUAAGUAGAGGUGAUAAACCUAACGAGCCUAGAGAUAGCUGGUUGUUCAGGAAAAGAGUUUUAGCUCUACCUUAAGUUUGUCUGUUAUAUCAACAACCCCCUUAAACUUAAGAGCUAUUCAAAUAAGGCACAGCUUAUUUGAAACAGGAUACAACCUAAAAAAUUGGGUAAACUAGGAUAAACCAAACAAAGUGGGCCUAAAAGCAGCCAUCUUUAAAAAAGCGUUAAAGCUUAAUUGUUCUUAUCCAUAAUUCUCUCAACCCACUUGAACCCCUCAUUAUUACUGAACUAUUUUAUAUUUUUAUAAAAAUAAUUAUGCUAGAACUAGUAACAAGAAAUUGUUUUUCUCCUAAAUGUAAGCAUAAGCCAAAACGGACCACCCAUUGGCACUUACCGUAAAUGUCUAUAUUAUAGCAACUUUACCCAGAAAACCCUAUAAUUUUUAACGUUAACCUUACACCAGUGCAUUCAAGGAAAGAUUAAAAGAGAAAGAAGGAACUCGGCAAAUUUUAGCCCCGCCUGUUUACCAAAAACAUCGCCUCUUGAUAUAC
rnacentral:rRNA from 1 species